GAUGCGGCGAGUGGGCGGNUCGCUCNUGAUGACCUCGCGAGAAGUCCACUGAACCUUAUCAUUUAGAGGAAGGAGAAGUCGUAACAAGGUUUCCGUAGGUGAACCUGCGGAAGGAUCAUUG
rnacentral:rRNA from 1 species